UAGGAAGUAGUAUAAUGGGAGUACAGGGGGUUUUGGGCUCUCUGGUGCAGGUUCAAUUCCUGUUUUUCUAA
rnacentral:tRNA from 1 species